rnacentral:piRNA from 1 species
UCUGGGAAUUUGAUGCGUUGCUGCUUGGACA